rnacentral:rRNA from 1 species
AUUGAACGCUGGCGGCAGGCCUAACACAUGCAAGUCGAGCGAGCGGCGGACGGGUGAGUAAUGUCCGGGAAACUGCCUGAUGGAGGGGGAUAACUACUGGAAACGGUAGCUAAUAACGCAUACUAUCAGAUAAGCCUAGGGAGGUUUAGCUAGUUGGUGGGGUAAAGGCCUACCAAGGCGACGAUCCGUAACUGGUCUGAGAGGAUGACCAGCCACACUGGAACUGAGCACAGGUCCAGACCCCUACGGGAGGCAGCAGUGGGGAAUAUUGCACAAUGGGCGCAAGCCUGAUGCAGCCAUGCCGCGUGUAUGAAGAAGGCCUUCGGGUUGUAAAGUACUUUCAGCGGGGAGGCGUUACCCGCAGAAGAAGCACCGGCUAACUCCGUGCCAGCAGCCGCGGUAAUAC